rnacentral:misc_RNA from 1 species
CAUAAACUAAUAGUUUUUUUUUUUUUUUUUAACCAUUCAAUUUUUUCAGUUUAAUGUCCUUUCUCUCAUCAGUUCACUUGAGGAAUGUUUCCAAAAGGUGGCUGUUACAAAUAACUACAAAAAUAAGUCAACAAAACCACCUCCCCCCCUCAACAGUCCUGAAAAAAUGCAACAAAAACUAUUAGUUUAUGCGACUGUCCCAUUCAGAAACAAAUCACUCCCACGACAAGGAAAUCAGACACCAUCAACACUUGCUGCAACAGAGAUCAGAACUACUUUCUGCACCUUAA